rnacentral:rRNA from 1 species
UACGGAGGGUGCGAGCGUUGUCCGGAAUCACUGGGCGUAAAGGGCGCGUAGGCGGCUCGUUAAGUGGCUGGUGAAAUCCCGGGGCUCAACCCCGGGUCUGCCGUGCGAACUGCUAUGGCUUGAGCACUGUAGAGGCAGGUAGAAUUCCGGGUGUAGCGGUGGAAUGCGUAGAGAUCCGGAAGAACACCUGAGGCGAAGGCGGCUUGCUGGGCAUGAUCUGACGCUGAGGCGCGAAAGCGUGGGGAGCAAACAGG